rnacentral:lncRNA from 1 species
AGAAUUGAAAGACUUGCUGAAAAAUGCCCGUUUGGAUGAUUCGUUGCCAUGGUGAUUUUCUUCCCACGAAUCGAUUAAACCGAAGCUCUUGAUACCAGAUGUUGGAAAUCCCCCAAAAUCUAUGGAGAAUUUCAAUCAAUCUUGAUGAACAAGAUUGUUAUCACCCCACACAAUGACAAUAACAAAAAAGAACAAUGGAGAAAGAAAGAAAGUAAAGAACGAUGAAGGAGAAGAAGAAUUUAAAAUUCUGCAGAGUUUCUCUCUGCCCACAAACUGUGGAAAACUUCUUAUUCACUUUGCAAUUACAAAAUAAUGUGAAUUACAAUAUUAU